rnacentral:rRNA from 1 species
GAAGGUUGGGUAACACUAACUGGAGGACCGAACCGACUAAUGUUGAAAAAUUAGCGGAUGACUUGUGGCUGGGGGUGAAAGGCCAAUCAAACCGGGAGAUAGCUGGUUCUCCCCGAAAGCUAUUUAGGUAGCGCCUCGUGAAUUCAUCUCCGGGGGUAGAGCACUGUUUCGGCAAGGGGGUCAUCCCGACUUACCAACCCGAUGCAAACUGCGAAUACCGGAGAAUGUUAUCACGGGAGACACACGGCGGGUGCUAACGUCCGUCGUGAAGAGGGAAACAACCCAGACCGCCAGCUAAGGUCCCAAAGUCAUGGUUAAGUGGGAAACGAUGUGGGAAGGCCCAGACAGCCAGGAUGUUGGCUUAGAAGCAGCCAUCAUUUAAAGAAAGCGUAAUAGCUCACUGGUCGAGUCGGCCUGCGCGGAAGAUGUAACGGGGCUAAACCAUGCACCGAAGCUGCGGCAGCGACACUAUGUGUUGUUGGGUAGGGGAGCGUUCUGUAAGCCUGUGAAGGUGGCCUGUGAGGGUUGCUGGAGGUAUCAGAAGUGCGAAUGCUGACAUAAGUAACGAUAAAGCGGGUGAAAAGCCCGCUCGCCGGAAGACCAAGGGUUCCUGUCCAACGUUAAUCGGGGCAGGGUGAGUCGACCCCUAAGGCGAGGCCGAAAGGCGUAGUCGAUGGGAAACAGGUUAAUAUUCCUGUACUUGGUGUUACUGCGAAGGGGGGACGGAGAAGGCUAUGUUGGCCGGGCGACGGUUGUCCCGGUUUAAGCGUGUAGGCUGGUUUUCCAGGCAAAUCCGGAAAACCAAGGCUGAGGCGUGAUGACGAGGCACUACGGUGCUGAAGUGACAAAUGCCCUGCUUCCAGGAAAAGCCUCUAAGCAUCAGGUAACAUCAAAUCGUACCCCAAACCGACACAGGUGGUCAGGUAGAGAAUACCAAGGCGCUUGAGAGAACUCGGGUGAAGGAACUAGGCAAAAUGGUGCCGUAACUUCGGGAGAAGGCACGCUGAUAUGUAGGUGAAGCGACUUGCUCGUGGAGCUGAAAUCAGUCGAAGAUACCAGCUGGCUGCAACUGUUUAUUAAAAACACAGCACUGUGCAAACACGAAAGUGGACGUAUACGGUGUGACGCCUGCCCGGUGCCGGAAGGUUAAUUGAUGGGGUUAGCGGUAACGCGAAGCUCUUGAUCGAAGCCCCGGUAAACGGCGGCCGUAACUAUAACGGUCCUAAGGUAGCGAAAUUCCUUGUCGGGUAAGUUCCGACCUGCACGAAUGGCGUAAUGAUGGCCAGGCUGUCUCCACCCGAGACUCAGUGAAAUUGAACUCGCUGUGAAGAUGCAGUGUACCCGCGGCAAGACGGAAAGACCCCGUGAACCUUUACUAUAGCUUGACACUGAACAUUGAGCCUUGAUGUGUAGGAUAGGUGGGAGGCUUUGAAGUGUGGACGCCAGUCUGCAUGGAGCCGACCUUGAAAUACCACCCUUUAAUGUUUGAUGUUCUAACGUUGGCCCGUAAUCCGGGUUGCGGACAGUGUCUGGUGGGUAGUUUGACUGGGGCGGUCUCCUCCUAAAGAGUAACGGAGGAGCACGAAGGUUGGCUAAUCCUGGUCGGACAUCAGGAGGUUAGUGCAAUGGCAUAAGCCAGCUUGACUGCGAGCGUGACGGCGCGAGCAGGUGCGAAAGCA